AGUGAGAAGGGGAGGGGAUGAGGAAGAGCAAAUCUGAGACAUGCACAGCAGGUUGGUGUGACUGAAGGACCCAGAUGCUAUAGGACAUGACACCAUUGGGACAGCGUGGCUUCUGGAGCAAAAUGUUUGGAGGCUGCCUUACAAGUAAAAACACAUCAAUCAGAUAUGAUUUGGUUACUGAGAUCAUAAAAUCAGCGUGGAGACAGAUGGUACACAGUGAGGUCCUGCAGCAAGUUUCUGCAGGCUGCACGCAAACACCUGUUCACUGUAAUCUAUCUCCUGCUUUGCUUGUAUGACCUUAAAACCAUUGUAAUUUCAGCUCUGGUAAUAAUAAUAAAAAAAGGGUGAAUUUCAAAUUAUAAUGCACAAGGUCCCCUGUAGGAAAAUGUGCUAACAGCCUUAUGAAAAUUGUGCAUAAGAAUAAAUGUACACAAUGGGCAUUUACAUUUUGAUGUGUUUUCUCUAA